rnacentral:lncRNA from 1 species
CAGGGCUUCAACUGUGAUUGGUAAACAUAGACUUAGGAGAAGGCACAGGAAGUGAUGCAAGAGAAAUUGUCUUUAAAAGGGAGUUACAAUUUCCUAAAGGGUUUCAGCUUGGAGUUCUACUUGGAGUGGAGGCUGAAGAUAAUCUGCUGACUGGACCGGAGACCCUGUUCCUGAUAAGGAAAAGGAGAAUUUGUGAGAUUAAGCGACUUUCCCCAAGAAUCAUUUCUAGGUAUCAGUUUCAAGAGAGAAGAGCACUAAUGGCUAGACAAUUGAAGUUGUGAGUCACCCAUAGUCACAUAGCUAAGAAGUUCCUGAGGUUCCAUUUGAACUCAGAACCUCCAAUCUCUGGCUCUCUAUUCACUGAGGUACCUCGCACUGUUUUUAUUUUUUCUUACUAACUAUAAUUGUUUCAGA